rnacentral:rRNA from 1 species
CGACUCUCGGCAACGGAUAUCCCGGCUCUCGCAUCGAUGAAGAACGCAGCAAAAUGCGAUACUUGGUGUGAAUUGCAGAAUCCCGUGAACCAUCGAGUUUUUGAACGCAAGUUGCGCCCGAAGCCGUUAUGCUGAGGGCACGUCUGCCUGGGCGUCACG